GGUUGGGUCUUGAGGCAAAAAAAGAAGAAAAUCUUGCUGAUUGGUAUUCUCAGGUCAUCACAAAGUCAGAAAUGAUUGAAUACCAUGACGUAAGUGGCUGUUAUAUUCUUCGUCCCUGGGCCUAUGCCAUUUGGGAAGCCAUCAAGGACUUUUUUGAUGCUGAGAUCAAGAAACUUGGUGUUGAAAACUGCUACUUCCCCAUGUUUGUGUCUCAAAGUGCAUUAGAGAAAGAGAAGACUCAUGUUGCUGACUUUGCCCCAGAGGUUGCUUGGGUUACAAGAUCUGGCAAAACCGAGCUGGCAGAACCAAUUGCCAUUCGUCCUACUAGUGAAACAGGUGAGAAUAGGCAUUGGAGUGCAGGAGAAUGCUCACUGAACAUUAGAGACAGCCUCUAGAGUUGAGUCUCAGCUUUUGCUUUGUGAUAGCUAUAAUCUCUGUUGACGAUAUAACAUUUCAUGAGUGUUGAUGAAGAUUGAAUGCAAACUUAAGUUGUCUAGAGUUUUAUUCUCUAAUAUUCAUUGUAGAGCUCUUUAUCAUUAAAUUAUAGGAUUUUUAAUUUAAAUACUCAUUUUUAUGCUGUAAAUUUUUAGGACUUUUC
rnacentral:sRNA from 1 species